GGCGUCGAGCGGCGGACGGGUGAGUAAUGCCUAGGAAAUUGCCCUGAUGUGGGGGAUAACCAUUGGAAACGAUGGCUAAUACCGCAUAAUACCUWCGGGUCAAAGAGGGGGACCUUCGGGCCUCUCGCGUCAGGAUAUGCCUAGGUGGGAUUAGCUAGUUGGUGAGGUAAUGGCUCACCAAGGCGACGAUCCCUAGCUGGUCUGAGAGGAUGAUCAGCCACACUGGAACUGAGACACGGUCCAGACUCCUACGGGAGGCAGCAGUGGGGAAUAUUGCACAAUGGGCGCAAGCCUGAUGCAGCCAUGCCGCGUGUGUGAAGAAGGCCUUCGGGUUGUAAAGCACUUUCAGUCGUGAGGAAGGUAGUGUAGUUAAUAGCUGCAUUAUUUGACGUUAGCGACAGAAGAAGCACCGGCUAACUCCGUGCCAGCAGCCGCGGUAAUACGGAGGGUGCGAGCGUUAAUCGGAAUUACUGGGCGUAAAGCGCAUGCAGGUGGUUUGUUAAGUCAGAUGUGAAAGCCCGGGGCUCAACCUCGGAAUAGCAUUUGAAACUGGCAGACUAGAGUACUGUAGAGGGGGGUAGAAUUUCAGGUGUAGCGGUGAAAUGCGUAGAGAUCUGAAGGAAUACCGGUGGCGAAGGCGGCCCCCUGGACAGAUACUGACACUCAGAUGCGAAAGCGUGGGGAGCAAACAGGAUUAGAUACCCUGGUAGUCCACGCCGUAAACGAUGUCUACUUGGAGGUUGUGGCCUUGAGCCGUGGCUUUCGGAGCUAACGCGUUAAGUAGACCGCCUGGGGAGUACGGUCGCAAGAUUAAAACUCAAAUGAAUUGACGGGGGCCCGCACAAGCGGUGGAGCAUGUGGUUUAAUUCGAUGCAACGCGAAGAACCUUACCUACUCUUGACAUCCAGAGAACUUUCCAGAGAUGGAUUGGUGCCUUCGGGAACUCUGAGACAGUGCUGCAUGGCUGUCGUCAGCUCGUGU
rnacentral:rRNA from 1 species